ACACCGGUUCUUUUAAGAACCACCAAUUUUACAAAAAAAGAAUAA
rnacentral:ncRNA from 1 species